rnacentral:rRNA from 1 species
UACGUAGGGGGCAAGCGUUGUCCGGAUUUAUUGGGCGUAAAGAGCGUGUAGGCGGCCAUACAGGUCAGCUGUGAAAACUCGAGGCUCAACCUCGAGACGUCGGUUGAAACCGUAUGGCUAGAGUCCGGAAGAGGAGAGUGGAAUUCCCGGUGUAGCGGUGAAAUGCGUAGAUAUCGGAAGGAACACCAGUGGCGAAGGCGAGUCCCUGGACAACUUCUGACGCUGAGGCACGAAAGCUAGGGGAGCAAACAGG